CAGUACAUAACCACAAGAGGGUGCUAUGCAGUAUAGGAUAUGAAUAGUACUCAAAUAACAUAAUGGUCUAUGAAACAGAUCUGAUUUGAUCAGCUUUCUCAAAGAGCUCUCUGGAAAAGGUGGGGUUUAAAGCACUGAUACCUGAUGUGAUCUUCUUUAACUUCAUGUCUGUUAGAGAGAGAAUAAGAAACACACACAAUGAGUCUCUGUUCUGUCAUUCUGCUUUCUGCCUUUGCAUAUGCAACAUAUGGAAAUCAAAUUAAACCAAACAAAACAGAGGAGUUUGCUGAGGAGGGUUCAAGUGUUAAAUUAUCCUGCAGUUAUUCAUCUGCACUCCGUCUUCACUGGUAUCGUCAAUAUCCCGGAUCAGCUCCUGAGUUCAUUGUGCUCAUCUUAGACAGUGCAAAAAAAGCUCAGGAGUCUUAUGUAGAUUCCAGAUUCACUGCCAAAGUCACUAAAGUCAGUAAUGAAAACCAUGUGGAUCUGGAGAUCUCCUCUGCAUCUAUAACAGACUUUGCUCUGUACUACUGUGCUCUGGAGCCCACAGUGACAGGAAACACAAGAACACUGUACAAAAACCUGAUACACAGCAUUGCAUCUUCCUCACACAUAUCCAACCCCCAUAUCUGCUGUUAACACUAGUGAACACCCCUCUAUUCAGCAAAAAAAACAGUAUUAUAUACAUGACUUGUCAUUCACAAUAUAAAAGGAUAUAACAG